UACAGAGGGUGCGAGCGUUAAUCGGAAUUACUGGGCGUAAAGCGUGCGUAGACGGUUAUUUAAGUCGGGUGUGAAAGCCCCGGGCUCAACCUGGGAAUUGCAUUCGAGACUGAAUAGCUAGGGUACGGUAGAGGGAAGUGGGAAUUUCCGGUGUAGCUGGUGAAAUGCGUAGAUAUCGGAAGGAACAUCAGUGGCGAAAGCGACUUCCUGGACCAGUACCGACGUU
rnacentral:rRNA from 1 species